AGUGAACGCUGGCGGUAGGCCUAACACAUGCAAGUCGAACGGCAGCACAGUAAGAGCUUGCUCUUACGGGUGGCGAGUGGCGGACGGGUGAGGAAUACAUCGGAAUCUACUUUUUCGUGGGGGAUAACGUAGGGAAACUUACGCUAAUACCGCAUACGACCUACGGGUGAAAGCAGGGGAUCUUCGGACCUUGCGCGAUUGAAUGAGCCGAUGUCGGAUUAGCUAGUUGGCGGGGUAAAGGCCCACCAAGGCGACGAUCCGUAGCUGGUCUGAGAGGAUGAUUAGCCCAACCGGAACUGGGAAACGGUCCAGAAUCCUACGGGAGGCAGGAGUGGGGAAUAUUGGACAAUGGGCGCAAGCCUGAUCCAGGCAUACCGCGUGGGUGAAGAAGGCCUUCGGGUUUUAAAGCCCCUUUGUUGGGAAAGAAAAGCAGCAGGUUAAAAACCCGCUGUUUCGGAGGUAACCAAAGAAUAAGCAACGGCUAACUUCGUG
rnacentral:rRNA from 1 species